GAAUGAUAAUGGUAUUAUUAAAGUAAAACUCUGAAGACCUGAUGGAAUUCAGAAAAUGCACAAGCUCUGAUUAAUAUUCUAAACAGAUCCAGCCUUUUCUAGGAACUCAGUAGCAGUCUAAGAUCAAGGAUUCACCUGGUUUCUUUUUAGAGAAAAACAUGAAAGCUGGAAUGAAGUUUUAUUGGAAGUUGUACACCUUCAUUAUCAGUAACUGGCAAAUGAGUAGUGGAGUGACAGAAGCCUGAAGUGUCCCUCUACUAGGAAGGAGUCCAUCAAAAGCUGAUAUGAAGCUGUAACAUCCUUCCUGGAAAUGGGAACCUUUCCACCAGAGUG